UACGUAGGGUGCGAGCGUUAAUCGGAAUUACUGGGCGUAAAGCGUGCGCAGGCGGUUCGUUAAGUCAGAUGUGAAAGCCCCGAGCUCAACUUGGGAACUGCAUUUGAAACUGGCGGGCUGGAGUGUGGCAGAGGGGGGUGGAAUUCCACGUGUAGCAGUGAAAUGCGUAGAGAUGUGGAGGAACACCAGUGGCGAAGGCGGCUUUCUGGUCUGUAACUGACGCUGAGGCGCGAAAGCGUGGGGAGCAAACAGG
rnacentral:rRNA from 1 species